AACAUGCUUAUUAUCUUCAAUACAAGAAUGUGCGACCAGACUAUGUCAAUGCCAUAUGGCACAUCAUCGACUGGAAGAGUGUCACUGAAAGAUUCAAGGCGGCCUUGUAAGGCAAAUCUGGAAAACGCUAGAUUUGUCUCCCUUUGAGCAAACUGAAAAUUUAAUGCAUCUUAUUUUGUUUUGGUGUAAUAAGGCAUUAAUGGUGCAAGCGAUGCAAUUGAUGUUGUUAUAAGAAGUGUUCUCAGAGUGCUAAUGUACAGGCGCAUUCCUUUUUAUGACACAGUGGAUUAAAUUCAUGUCAAUAAAGUUUUGAUUGUGUGCGAUAUAUAGUGAAAUAAAAUAUUGUAUGACUUU
rnacentral:misc_RNA from 1 species